rnacentral:rRNA from 1 species
UCCAGACUCCUACGGGAGGCAGCAGUGGGGGAUAUUGCACAAUGGGGGGAACCCUGAUGCAGCGACGCCGCGUGGGUGAAGAAGCGCCUCGGCGCGUAAAGCCCUGUCAGCAGGGAAGAAAAUGACGGUACCUGAAGAAGAAGCCCCGGCUAACUACGUGCCAGCAGCCGCGGUAAUACGUAGGGGGCAAGCGUUAUCCGGAUUCACUGGGUGUAAAGGGAGCGUAGACGGCGACGCAAGUCUGGAGUGAAAGCCCGGGGCCCAACCCCGGGACUGCUCUGGAAACUGCGUCGCUGGAGUGCGGGAGGGGCAGGCGGAAUUCCUGGUGUAGCGGUGAAAUGCGUAGAUAUCAGGAGGAACACCGGCGGCGAAGGCGGCCUGCUGGACCGUGACUGACGUUGAGGCUCGAGAGCGUGGGGAGCAAACAGGAUUAGAUACCCUAGUAAC